rnacentral:rRNA from 1 species
CAAUAUGAAGGUCAGGCUGAAGACCUUACCCCGAUUAGCUGAGAGGUGGUGCAUGGCCGUCGUCAGUUCGUACUGUGAAGCAUCCUGUUAAGUCAGGCAACGAGCGAGACCCACGUCCACAGUUGCCAGCAUACCCUCCGGGGUGAUGGGUACACUGUGGAGACCGCCGCUGCUAAAGCGGAGGAAGGAGUGGGCAACGGUAGGUCAGUAUGCCCCGAAUCUCCCGGGCUACACGCGGGCUACAAUGGUUGGUACAAUGGGCAUCUACCCCGAAAGGGGAAGGAAAUCUCUUAAAGCCAAUCGUAGUUCGGAUUGAGGGCUGCAACUCGCCCUCAUGAAGCUGGAAUCCGUAGUAAUCGCGUUUCAACAGAACGCGGUGAAUACGUCCCUGCUCCUU